UCACAUUAAGUGAAACCAUAGCUACACUUGUCAUUGGCUGACGGAGGUUGUUUUGCUUCACCGUAUAAGAAUAGGGAAACUCUAACUGAUUGCACUGUCAGGUUUUGAAGUUAAUGUGUGCUGUGUAGACGGGUUUACCAAUGAUCACGAUGAAACUCACGACAAUUUGUCUUCUUUUAGUCAUUAUUUCGGCAUCGGGUGCUAUGGAUGAUACAUGCUUCAAACAAUGUAUCUUUAAUUUAUCGUGUCACAAGAAGUGCAGGAAUAAAGGAAAGCGUUUUGAAAACAUAGACCUGCCUGAAGUGAAGGAGAAGCGAACUAAACCAAGUUGCAAAGACAAGUGUGGCGGUGAGGAUUUGAUUUGUAUGCUUUCGUGGCUGAAAUUAGGAAUGUGUACAUUUUAAAGACAGUUUGCGAAAAUUUGGUCGAAGCACAGAUUCUUUCAACGAAAAAAUACAAUGAAUUUAUUUGACCUACCGACAUAUGCCCGAAGAAUUUCUGACAAUUUAAGGCAGCAUUUUAGACAUAUGACGUGAUUCAUCAUACGUGUUAUAAUAUUGUA